rnacentral:rRNA from 1 species
AUUGAACGCUGGCGGCAGGCUUAACACAUGCAAGUCGAGCGGGGGAGGUUGCUUCGGUAACUGACCUAGCGGCGGACGGGUGAGUAAUGCUUAGGAAUCUGCCUAUUAGUGGGGGACAACAUUCCGAAAGGGAUGCUAAUACCGCAUACGCCCUACGGGGGAAAGCAGGGGGUCUUCGGACCUUGCGCUAAUAGAUGAGCCUAAGUCGGAUUAGCUAGUUGGUGGGGUAAAGGCCUACCAAGGCGACGAUCUGUAGCGGGUCUGAGAGGAUGAGCCGCCACACUGGGACUGAGAAACGGCCCAGACUCCUACGGGAGGCAGCAGUGGGGAAUAUUGGACAAUGGGCGGAAGCCUGAUCCAGCCAUGCCGCGUGUGUGAAGAAGGCCUUUUGGUUGUAAAGCACUUUAAGCGAGGAGAAGGCUCUUAAGGCUAAUACCCUUGAUGAGUGGACGUUACUCGCAGAAUAAGCACCGGCUAACUCUGUGCCAGCAGCCGCGGUAACAC